CAUUAGUUAGUUGGUGGGGUAAUGGCCUACCAAGACGAUGAUGUGUAGCCGGGCUGAGAGGUCGAACGGCCACAUUGGGACUGAGACACGGCCCAAACUCCUACGGGAGGCAGCAGUAAGGAAUUUUCGGCAAUGGAGGAAACUCUGACCGAGCAAUGCCGCGUGAACGAUGAAGUAUUUCGGUACGUAAAGUUCUUUUAUUAGGGAAGAAAAGAUGGUGGAAAAACCAUUAUGACGGUACCUAAUGAAUAAGCCCCGGCUAACUAUGUGCCAGCAGCCGCGGUAAUACAUAGGGGGCAAGCGUUAUCCGGAAUUAUUGGGCGUAAAGGGUGCGUAGGCGGUUAAAUAAGUUUAUGGUCUAAGUGCAACGCUCAACGUUGUGAUGCUAUAAAAACUGUUUAGCUAGAGUUGGAUAGAGGCAAGUGGAAUUCCGUGUGUAGUGGUAAAAUGCGUAAAUAUACGGAGGAACACCAGAAGCGAAGGCGGCUUGCUGGGUCUUAACUGACGCUGAGGCACGAAAGCGUGGGGAGCAAACAGGAUUAGAUACCCUGGUAGUCCACGCCCUAAACGAUGAGUACUAAACGUUGGAUAAAACCAGUGUUGAAGUUAACACAUUAAGUACUCCGCCUGAGUAGUACGUACGCAAGUAUGAAACUUAAAGGAAUUGACGGGACUCCGCACAAGCGGUGGAUCAUGUUGUUUAAUUCGAAGGUACCCGAAAAACCUCACCAGGUCUUGACAUGCUUUUGCAAAGCUGUAGAAAUACAGUGGAGGUUAUCAGAAGCACAGGUGGUGCAUGGUUGUCGUCAGCUCGUGUCGUGAGAUGUUGGGUUAAGUCCCGCAACGAGCGCAACCCUUGUUGUUAAUUGCCAUCAUUAAGUUGGGGACUUUAGCAAGACUGCCAAUGAUAAAUUGGAGGAAGGUGGGGACGACGUCAAAUCAUCAUGCCCCUUAUGACCUGGGCUACAAACGUGAUACAAUGGCUGUUACAAAGGGUAGCUAAAGCGUAAGC
rnacentral:rRNA from 1 species